rnacentral:hammerhead_ribozyme from 1 species
CACUUGCUGACGAGUCCCAUAUAGGACGAAAUGCGCAUCCUGGUG